CGAGUCUCACAAACGUUAUUCGGAAUUACUGGGCUUAAAGGGUGCGUAGGCGGUGGAGUAAGUCGGAUGUGAAAUACCAUAGCUUAACUAUGGAACUGCACUCGAUACUACUUUGCUAGAGUAAGACAGAGGUGAGUGGAACUGAGGGUGGAGCGGUGAAAUGCGUUGAUAUCCUCAGGAACACCGGUGGCGAAGGCGACUCACUGGGUCUUUACUGACGCUGAUGCACGAAAGCUAGGUAGCAAACGGGAUU
rnacentral:rRNA from 1 species